UAUUUCCACCAUCCUUUUUCGAUGUCAUGGAACAUUUACCGAUCCACCUACCACGAGAAGCUGAACUAGGGGGACCAGUUCAAUUCAGAUGGAUGUAUCCGUUCGAACGGUUCAUGUACCAUUUGA